CUCAAAGCUUAAAUAUUACUGAUAAUGUAACUCGGAUUAUAAUGGAAACAUUUGUAAAAAAUAAAUUAAAUAAUAAUUCUAAGUGCUUUGUGCUUGGAAAAAAAUCAGACCAUAACUUACUUAUUAU
rnacentral:sRNA from 1 species